rnacentral:rRNA from 1 species
GAUCAUGGCUCAGGAUGAACGCUAGCUACAGGCUUAACACAUGCAAGUCGAGGGGAAACGACAUCGAAAGCUUGCUUUUGAUGGGCGUCGACCGGCGCACGGGUGAGUAACGCGUAUCCAACCUGCCCACCACUUGGGGAUAACCUUGCGAAAGUAAGACUAAUACCCAAUGAUAUCCCACGAAGGCAUCCGAAUGGGAUUAAAGAUUUAUCGGUGAUGGAUGGGGAUGCGUCUGAUUAGCUUGUUGGCGGGGUAACGGCCCACCAAGGCGACGAUCAGUAGGGGUUCUGAGAGGAAGGUCCCCCACAUUGGAACUGAGACACGGUCCAAACUCCUACGGGAGGCAGCAGUGAGGAAUAUUGGUCAAUGGACGAGAGUCUGAACCAGCCAAGUAGCGUGCAGGAUGACGGCCCUAUGGGUUGUAAACUGCUUUUAUAAGGGAAUAAAGUGAGUCUCGUGAGACUUUUUGCAUGUACCUUAUGAAUAAGGACCGGCUAAUUCCGUG